UGGUGCUUGCAUCAUGAUUUACAUUUGAGUGAGUGGCGAACUGGUGAGUAACACGUGGGAAACCUGCCCAGAAGCGGGGGAUAACACCUGGAAACAGAUGCUAAUACCGCAUAACAACUUGGACCGCAUGGUCCGAGCUUGAAAGAUGGCUUCGGCUAUCACUUUUGGAUGGUCCCGCGGCGUAUUAGCUAGAUGGUGGGGUAACGGCUCACCAUGGCAAUGAUACGUAGCCGACCUGAGAGGGUAAUCGGCCACAUUGGGACUGAGACACGGCCCAAACUCCUACGGGAGGCAGCAGUAGGGAAUCUUCCACAAUGGACGAAAGUCUGAUGGAGCAACGCCGCGUGAGUGAAGAAGGGUUUCGGCUCGUAAAACUCUGUUGUUAAAGAAGAACAUAUCUGAGAGUAACUGUUCAGGUAUUGACGGUAUUUAACCAGAAAGCCACGGCUAACUACGUGCCAGCAGCCGCGGUAAUACGUAGGUGGCAAGCGUUGUCCGGAUUUAUUGGGCGUAAAGCGAGCGCAGGCGGUUUUUUAAGUCUGAUGUGAAAGCCUUCGGCUCAACCGAAGAAGUGCAUCGGAAACUGGGAAACUUGAGUGCAGAAGAGGACAGUGGAACUCCAUGUGUAGCGGUGAAAUGCGUAGAUAUAUGGAAGAACACCAGUGGCGAAAGCGGCUGUCUGGUCUGUAACUGACGCUGAGGCUCGAAAGUAUGGGUAGCAAACAGGAUUAGAUACCCUGGUAGUCCAUACCGUAAACGAUGAAUGCUAAGUGUUGGAGGGUUUCCGCCCUUCAGUGCUGCAGCUAACGCAUUAAGCAUUCCGCCUGGGGAGUACGGCCGCAAGGCUGAAACUCAAAGGAAUUGACGGGGGCCCGCACAAGCGGUGGAGCAUGUGGUUUAAUUCGAAGCUACGCGAAGAACCUUACCAGGUCUUGACAUACUAUGCAAAUCUAAGAGAUUAGACGUUCCCUUCGGGGACAUGGAUACAGGUGGUGCAUGGUUGUCGUCAGCUCGUGUCGUGAGAUGUUGGGUUAAGUCCCGCAACGAGCGCAACCCUUAUUAUCAGUUGCCAGCAUUAAGUUGGGCACUCUGGUGAGACUGCCGGUGACAAACCGGAGGAAGGUGGGGAUGACGUCAAAUCAUCAUGCCCCUUAUGACCUGGGCUACACACGUGCUACAAUGGAUGGUACAACGAGUUGCGAACUCGCGAGAGUAAGCUAAUCUCUUAAAGCCAUUCUCAGUUCGGAUUGUAGGCUGCAACUCGCCUACAUGAAGUCGGAAUCGCUAGUAAUCGCGGAUCAGCAUGCCGCGGUGAAUACGUUCCCGGGCCUUGUACACACCGCCCGUCACACCAUGAGAGU
rnacentral:rRNA from 2 species